rnacentral:rRNA from 1 species
GAUGAACGCUGGCGGCGUGCCUAACACAUGCAAGUCGAACGAAGCACCUCGAUUCCUUCGGGAUGAAAGGUGACUGAGUGGCGGACGGGUGAGUAACGCGUGGGUAACCUGCCUCACACAGGGGGAUAACAGCUGGAAACGGCUGCUAAUACCGCAUAAGCGCACAGUACCGCAUGGUACAGUGUGAAAAGUUUUUUCGGUGUGAGAUGGACCCGCGUCUGAUUAGCUAGUUGGCGGGGUAACGGCCCACCAAGGCGACGAUCAGUAGCCGGCCUGAGAGGGUGGGCGGCCACAUUGGGACUGAGACACGGCCCAAACUCCUACGGGAGGCAGCAGUGGGGAAUAUUGCACAAUGGGGGGAACCCUGAUGCAGCGACGCCGCGUGAACGAUGAAGUAUUUCGGUAUGUAAAGUUCUAUCAGCAGGGAAGAAAAUGACGGUACCUGACUAAGAAGCACCGGCUAAAUACGUGCCAGCCGCCGCUGUAAUAC